UGUUUCUGCUGGAGCUGAGCUAUCUGCUUGCUGCUCACCGCGAUCGACCAAAAGGUGAAAGAAGGUCACGACCUCUCCAGAGGUCAGGUUCUCACCUUCAGCUGGACCAGGCAGGUCGGCACCGCCAUCCGACUGACCGAGUCAGAACCGGUCACCAGGUCCACUCUCCAGUCCAGUUCCUUCAGCUGAGGGAGG